UCAUGAGAACCAAGGUAAUUUCCUGAUCUCCAGGUAAGAAGGGAACUGACAGGGGCAGCCUUGCCUUUCACACUGAGGAUCAGCUCCCUGCUGGAACCCCUGGCCAGGGAAAGUUGGGGGGCCCUAGCCAGACACUGGGCAUCACAGAGCUCUUCUGCUGAAACAUAUUCUUGGCACUGGCAGCUGUAAAAAGAAGAGGAUGGGAGGUCUGCCUUGGUGGGUAAGGAGCAGCUGCCCAUUCUUGACACUCCAUCACCAGUAUGGGCCCCUCCAGAAGGAUCUGAACUGUCUAUGCUUCCUGUGCAGUGACUGCACUUUCAAUGGAGGUCCAUGAUGACUCACUAAAAUGCAUUCUCUCUGG